ACUCCUACGGGAGGCAGCAGUGGGGAAUCUUAGACAAUGGGGGCAACCCUGAUCUAGCCAUGCCGCGUGAGUGAUGAAGGCCCUAGGGUUGUAAAGCUCUUUCAGCUGGGAAGAUAAUGACGGUACCACAGAGAAGCCCCGGCUAACUCCGUUGCCAGCAGCCGCGGUAAUACGGAGGGGGCUAGCGUUGUUCGGAAUUACUGGGCGUAAAGCGCACGUAGGCGGAUUGGAAAGUUAGAGGUGAAAUCCCAGGGCUCAACCUUGGAACUGCCUUUAAAACUCCCAGUCUUGAGUUCGAGAGAGGUGAGUGGAAUUCCGAGUGUAGAGGUGAAAUUCGUAGAUAUUCGGAGGAACACCAGUGGCGAAGGCGGCUCACUGGCUCGAUACUGACGCUGAGGUGCGAAAGCGUGGGGAGCAAAACAGGAUUAGAUACCCUGGUAGGAUAGCG
rnacentral:rRNA from 1 species